AACGAACGCUGGCGGCAUGCCUAACACAUGCAAGUCGAACGUGAUCCGUGCCUUCGGGUACGGUGAAAGUGGCGCACGGGUGAGUAACGCGUGGGAACCUGCCCAAUGGUAGGGAAUAACCGCGGGAAACUGCGGCUAAUACCCUAUGAGCCCUACGGGGGAAAGAUUUAUCGCCGUUGGAGGGGCCCGCGUCGGAUUAGGUAGUUGGUGGGGUAAUGGCUCACCAAGCCUUCGAUCCGUAGCUGGUCUGAGAGGAUGAUCAGCCACACUGGGACUGAGACACGGCCCAGACUCCUACGGGAGGCAGCAGUGGGGAAUAUUGGACAAUGGGGGCAACCCUGAUCCAGCAAUGCCGCGUGAGUGAAGAAGGCCUUAGGGUUGUAAAGCUCUUUCGGCGGGGACGAUGAUGACGGUACCCGCAGAAGAAGCCCCGGCUAACUCCGUGCCAGCAGCCGCGGUAACAC
rnacentral:rRNA from 1 species